rnacentral:rRNA from 1 species
GUCUGUUUGAAGGUGUAAAAAGUCUAGUCUGCCCACUGAUAAAAUUUAAAGGGCCGCAGUAAUCUGACUGUGCAAAGGUAGCAUAAUCGUUAGUUUUUUAAUUGGAAUCUUGUAUGAAUGGCUGAACAAAAGAAUUUCUGUCUCUAUAUCUUUUUUGAAUUUAACUUUUAAGUGAAAAGGCUUAAAUAUAUUUAAAAGACGAUAAGACCCUGUAAAGCUUUAUAAAUGUUUUUAUUUAAAGCAAAUUUAUUAAUAAAGCUUAAUUAAUAAAGAUUUAUUUUGUUGGGGCGACAAUAAUAUAAUAUUUACUAACUGUUAAACUUUAAAACAAAAUUAAUUGACUACCAUAUUUAUGAUCCUUUUUAGAGAUUAAAAGUUUAAGUUACUUCAGGGAUAACAGCGUUAUUUUUCUUAAGAGUCCAUAUCGAAAGAAAAGUUUGCGACCUCGAUGUUGAAUUAAAAAUUUCUUUAUAAUUGCAGAAGUUAUAAAAGAGGGUCUGUUCGACCUUUAAAUUUUUACAUGAUUUGAGUUCAAACCGGUGUAAG